AACGAACGCUGGCGGCGUGGAUAAGACAUGCAAGUCGAACGGGACAACAUCUGUAGCAAUACAGGUGUUGUUUAGUGGCGAACGGGUGCGUAACACGUGGGCAAUCUGCCGAGAAGUGGGGGAGUAGCUCGCCGAAAGGACGAUUAAUACCGCAUAUGAUCAGUGAAGACAUCUUCACGACAUCAAAGACCGGGGCGAACCUGGCGGCUUCUUGAUGAGCCCGCGGCCUAUCAGCUAGUUGGUGAGGUAACGGCUCACCAAGGCUAUGACGGGUA
rnacentral:rRNA from 1 species